AUUGAACGCUGGCGGCAGGCCUAACACAUGCAAGUCGAACGAGUGGCGGACGGGUGAGUAAUGUCUGGGAAACUGCCUGAUGGAGGGGGAUAACUACUGGAAACGGUAGCUAAUCCCGCAUACCAUCGGAUGUGCCCAAAUGGGAUUUGCUUGUUGGUGGGGUAAAGGGUAACCUAGGCGACGAUCCCUAGCGGGUCUGGGAGGAUGACCAGCAACACUGGCACUGAGACACGGUGCAGACUCCUACGGAAGGCAGCAGAGGGGAAUAUUGCACAAUGGGCGCAAGCCUGAUGCAGCCAUGCCGCGUGUAUGAAGAAGUCCUUCGGGGUGUAAAGUACUUUCAGCGGGGAGGCGUUACCCGCAGAAGAAGCACCGGCUAACUCCGUGCCAGCAGCCGCGGUAAUUC
rnacentral:rRNA from 1 species